rnacentral:lncRNA from 1 species
AUCUUUUUUAACUCAUCGGUGACCUAUAUUUUUUAUUAUUGUUUUCAAACAAGCUGUACAUAAACUAAAUAAUUGUAAAAUUUAAGCGAUUUCUGUAAUUUAGUUCUUUUUUUAUUUCGAUAUUACCAAUAUUUCUCCUAUUAGUUCAACAGAAAAAAAGGACAUUAACAAAAAUGUAUGCUUCUUUCGGAGGCAGUUUGUGAGCUUAAAUGAACGGUGACCCCAUAUUUUUAUUUUAUAUUUCUAUUAGGUAUAAGAUAAAGUUUAA